rnacentral:rRNA from 1 species
GACGGGGCCGCACAAGCGGUGGAGCAUGUGGUUAAUUCGACGCUACGCGAAGAACCUUACCUGGGCUUGAACUGCUGGUGGUAGAAGCCCGAAAGGGUAACGACCCGGAGCAAUCCGGGAGCCAGUAGAGGUGCUGCAUGGCUGUCGUCAGCUCGUGCCGUGAGGUGUCGGGUUAAGUUCCAUAACGAGCGCAACCCUUAUCGUUAGUUGCCAUCUGGUAAAGCAGGGGACUCUAGCGAAACUGCCACCGUAAGGUGAGAGGAAGGUGGGGAUGACGUCAAAUCAGCACGGCCCUUAUGUCCAGGGCUACACACGUGUUACAAUGGCCGGUACAGAGGGCAGCUACCUGGUGACAGGAUGCUAAUCUCGAAAACCGGUCUCAGUUCGGAUCGAAGUCUGCAACUCGACUUCGUGAAGCUGGAUUCGCUAGUAAUCGCGCAUCAGCCAUGGCGCGGUGAAUACGUUCCCGGGCCUU